rnacentral:rRNA from 1 species
AGUGAACGCUGGCGGUAGGCCUAACACAUGCAAGUCGAACGGCAGCACAGUAAGAGCUUGCUCUUACGGGUGGCGAGUGGCGGACGGGUGAGGAAUACAUCGGAAUCUACUUUUUCGUGGGGGAUAACGUAGGGAAACUUACGCUAAUACCGCAUACGACCUACGGGUGAAAGCAGGGGAUCUUCGGACCUUGCGCGAUUGAAUGAGCCGAUGUCGGAUUAGCUAGUUGGCGGGGUAAAGGCCCACCAAGGCGACGAUCCGUAGCUGGUCUGAGAGGAUGGUGGCCCACAUGGGAGGAGGAACAGGGCCCGCGCGCCCAGGGGAGGCAGCAGGGGGAAAUGUGGAACAAUGGGCGCAGGCGGGCCCCGGCAGUACCGCGGGGUUGAAAAGGGCCUUGGGUUUGAAAAGCCCUUUGGUGGGGAAAAAAAAGCAGCGGUGUAAUCACCCGCGGGCCGGACGUUACCAAAAGCAGAAGCACCGGCUAACUUCGUG